rnacentral:snRNA from 1 species
GUGCUUGCCUUGGCAGCUCGUUUACUAAAAUUGGAAUAAUACAGAGAAGAUUAGUGUGGCCCUGCAAAAGGAUGACAUGCACAUUUGUGAAGUGUUCUAUAGCUUC